AUUGAACGCUGGCGGCAUGCCUUACACAUGCAAGUCGAACGGUAACGGGCCUUCGGGUGCCGACGAGUGGCGAAUGGGUGAGUAAUGCAUCGGAACGUGCCCAGUCGUGGGGGAUAACGCAGCGAAAGCUGUGCUAAUACCGCAUACGAUCUAUGGAUGAAAGCGGGGGACCGUAAGGCCUCGCGCGAUUGGAGCGGCCGAUGUCAGAUUAGGUAGUUGGUGGGGUAAAGGCCCACCAAGCCAACGAUCUGUAGCUGGUCUGAGAGGACGACCAGCCACACUGGGACUGAGACACGGCCCAGACUCCUACGGGAGGCAGCAGUGGGGAAUUUUGGACAAUGGGCGCAAGCCUGAUCCAGCAAUGCCGCGUGCAGGAAGAAGGCCUUCGGGUUGUAAACUGCUUUUGUACGGAACGAAACGGUCUGGGUUAAUACCCUGGGCUAAUGACGGUACCGUAAGAAUAAGCACCGGCUAACUACGUGCCAGCAGCCGCUGUAAAAC
rnacentral:rRNA from 1 species